rnacentral:lncRNA from 1 species
CAGUCCAUCAUUUAAAAUCCUAAAAUUAAAAGAUUCAUCAGGAGUGAACUUACCUUGGUGAGUUUCAGGUCCGUGGACUGAACUUCUUAAAUUUUCAUGAAGAGAUCUGGAAGAGCUCAGAUUUGAGCAAGAUAGGUGCCUUUGUCGAAGUAGCUAAGGUGGAGAGACUGCAUAGUAUCCAUCAAUUUCCAACUAGUGGCCAUGGUUUGAGCCAACAUUGCGGACUCCUUUCGACUUAGUGUAUUGACACCUACAUUUCCUCUACUGAAGUGAUAGAUGAU